rnacentral:tRNA from 1 species
GGCAGUGUAGCCAAGUGGUUACGGCGUCACGUUUAGGUCUCUUAGACUUCCACCGUGAUGGGUUUCCCGCGCGAGUUCGAAUCUCGUCACUGUCA